rnacentral:tRNA from 1 species
CAGUAUGUUUUCACAUCUGAAUCCUACAAGAAAAGAGCUACCAUCAUGGCUAUACAUUUAACUAACCAAUUCAUCCAUGAACUGUGUGACAAACAGCGCAUAAAAUUUGAUAACAAAUCCGGCCGCGUGGUCUAGUGGUAUGAUACUCGCUUUGGGUGUGAGUGGUCCAGGGUUCAAUUCCCUGCUCGGCCCGCUCCUAGACCACAUAACUCGUUUUAGAGCUAGAAAUAGCAAGUUAAAAUAAGGCUAGUCCGUUAUCAACUUGAAAAAGUGGCACCGAGUCGGUGCUUUUUUU